rnacentral:rRNA from 1 species
UACGUAGGCAGCAAGCGUUGUUCGGAAUUACUGGGCGUAAAGAGUGUGUAGGCGGUGCUCCAAGUCUGGUGUGAAAUCUCCCGGCUUAACUGGGAGGGUGCAUUAGAAACUGGAAUGCUAGAGGAUGGGAGAGGUAAGCGGAAUUCCUGGUGUAGCGGUGAAAUGCGUAGAUAUCAGGAGGAACACCGGUGGUGUAGACG